rnacentral:rRNA from 1 species
GUGCCAGCAGCCGCGGUAAUACGAAGGGAGCUAGCGUUGUUCGGAAUCACUGGGCGUAAAGCGCACGUAGGCGGGUUUGUCAGUCAGGGGUGAAAUCCCGGGGCUCAACCUCGGAACUGCCCUUGAUACAGCAAGCCUUAGAGUCCGGAAGAGGUGGGUGGAAUUCCUAGUGUAGAGGUGAAAUUCGUAGAUAUUAGGAAGAACACCGGUGGCGAAGGCGGCCCACUGGUCCGGCACUGACGCUGAGGUGCGAAAGCGUGGGGAGCAAACAGGAUUAGAUACCCCAGUAGUCC